rnacentral:pre_miRNA from 1 species
CAUCUACUCCCUCCGUUCGGAAUUACUUGUCACAAAAAUGGAUGUAUCUACAACUAAAAUACAUCUAAGAUACAUUCAUUUUUUGGACGAGUAAUUCCAAACGGAGGGAGUAGCAU